rnacentral:rRNA from 1 species
GACGAACGCUGGCGGCGUGCUUAACACAUGCAAGUCGAACGGAAAGGCCCUGCUUUUGUGGGGUGCUCGAGUGGCGAACGGGUGAGUAACACGUGAGUAACCUGCCCUUGACUUUGGGAUAACUUCAGGAAACUGGGGCUAAUACCGGAUAGGAGCUCCUGCUGCAUGGUGGGGGUUGGAAAGUUUCGGCGGUUGGGGAUGGACUCGCGGCUUAUCAGCUUGUUGGUGGGGUAGUGGCUUACCAAGGCUUUGACGGGUAGCCGGCCUGAGAGGGUGACCGGCCACAUUGGGACUGAGAUCCGGCCCAGACUCCUACGGGAGGCAGCAGUGGGGAAUAUUGCACAAUGGGCGGAAGCCUGAUGCAGCAACGCCGCGUGCGGGAUGACGGCUUUCGGGUUGUAAACCGCUUUCGCCUGUGACGAAGCGUGAGGGACGGUAAUGGGUAAAGAAGCACCGGCGAACUACG